rnacentral:rRNA from 1 species
AAUUGGAGGGCAAGUCUGGUGCCAGCAGCCGCGGUAAUUCCAGCUCCAAUAGCGUAUAUUAAAGUUGUUGCAGUUAAAAAGCUCGUAGUUGAAUUUCGGGAUCAAUAUUUCGGUCAUGCCGUUGGUAUGCACUGUUAUCAUUGAUUUCUCACCUUCUAAAGAACUGUAAUGCCAUUAAUUUGGUGUUACAGGGAAUUAGAACUGUUACCUUGAAAAAAUUAGAGUGUUUAAAGCAGGCUCACGCUUGAAUACAUUAGCAUGGAAUAAUGAAAUAGGACAUCCGAUUCUAUUUUGUUGGUUUCUAGGAUCGAUGUAAUGAUUAAUAGGGAUAGUUGGGGGCAUUAGUAUUCAAUUGUCAGAGGUGAAAUUCUUGGAUUUAUUGAAGACUAACUACUGCGAAAGCAUUUGCCAAGGAUGUUUUCAUUAAUCAAGAACGAAAGUUAGGGGAUCGAAGACGAUCAGAUACCGUCGUAGUCUUAACCAUAAACUAUGCCGACUAGGGAUCGGAUGAUGUUAAUUUUUUAAUGACUCAUUCGGCGCCUUACGGGAAACCAAAGUGU